ensembl:lncRNA
AUGGCAGAGCUGGCCAACUGGGUUAUUCAGUGGGGCCCCAACCCCUGGGGCCCCAACUCCUGCAGAAGCAUCCAGCAAGCAGACCUGGAGUUUGCCAGAUUGAAAGAAAUGGCCAAGUCGAAACUUUUCUCCCGAAAAUCCCUAAAAUGUGCGGGAGCGUGGGCCGUGUGGUUAGUGGCCAAAAGUCAGGCUGAGGAGAAGGAGGCGGCCCAAGCAGAGAUCCAGAGGCUGAAGGAGGAGAACAGCAAGCUGAAAGCAGAGAUAAAGGCCCAGCGGCUGAAGCUGGAGGAGGGCAAAACUCGGGAAAGCAUUGCGGCUGUGGAACAGGUGAGAAGUGUCCUCCAGUACCAGGAGAUGUGCGAACAGAAAAAGGCAGUUAUGAACGAGAAUAAGGCGCUGAAAGAAAAACUGGCUGUCAGCACAAGGACCCUCGAGGAGUUUCAGGGUGCGAUCCGAGCGUUGGUACAGAAAAUACAGACCCUGAAAGAGAAAGGCACAGACCACCGAGCCUGUGAGGCCAAGGUGGAGAAGUUAAAAGCAGCGUUAGGGGCAAAGCACGGCACGGCGGCCGUGGCUCUUGCCAAAACAACCUGCCAGGGAGGCGAUGAGCCCUGGGAUGGGGCAGCCUGGCUCAAAGCAGAGGGCAGCCCCUGUGAGGAGAAGCACGGGGCUGCGAGCCCGUGUCUUCCAGCUUGUGAUGGGGGGGAGAGGGCUCAGGCAAGCCCGGCUGCGCUUCCUGGUGCACAGGCUGCUGUGAAAAGGGAAAGUGGGGGGAUGGAGGAGGGGGAGAGCAGGGGAGAUGUGUCGCUGCAGGCAGAUGGAGGUACCGGGGGGGAAACAGCCGGUGCCCCAACCCCACAGCAGCACAAGGCAGCAUGCAACCAGGCCGCAGGGCCCGCCUGGGCACGGGAGGAGGGAGGGGGCUCUGGCAGAGGAUGCAGUGGCAAAGGGUGGAGAAACCCUGAGAAUAAAAGGGACUGGGGAGUGCUGCAGACCCCCGCCCUGGCCGCUGCCUCACCCCUGCUCCCAUCGGGAGGGAGGUGGCCGGGCAGGAGGCCGUGGCAGAGCGGCGCAGGCCCCAGGAUGGGGGCAAGGAGUAACGUGGCCAGGAGGGAGCUGGGCACGAUGCGCGUGGACAUAUGGCGGCAGCUGAGGCAGCACGGGGAGGACAUGGCACGCUGGGAUAACGCCCCGACUAGGGCACUGCUGGACCGGCUGCUGGAGCUCAGCGGGAGCAAGGAGGGGAGCAGGGCUGGGGCCCCCGCCCUCCCUGUUGUGGUCUAG